ensembl:misc_RNA Metazoa_SRP Metazoan signal recognition particle RNA
GCCGGGCGUGGUGGCGGGCGCCUGUAGUCCCAGCUACUUGGGAGGCUGAGACAGGAGAAUCGCUUGAACCCAGGAAGUGGAGCUUGCAGUGAGCCGAGAUCGCGCCACUGUACUCCAGCCUGGGUGACAGAGCGAGACUCCGUCUUAA